GAGAGCGAUUGGUCCAGCAAUACUGAUACCGAAUGAUUUUCAAACAGAUAUGCGUAUAUGCCUCCUAAACGCAAAAGAACAUGUGAGCCAUCCCACCACUUAGCGAAUCCCCGUGUGCUUCACCUGCCAACAAUGGUGGGCCAUCGUCACCAGAACCAGAACAAGCUGUUGUAAACCAGCGCCGAGUUAGAAGCAUUACGAGGGGUGUCUGCAUAGAAAAACUAAGGAAAGUGGGUAACAUUAAAGUUGAUAUAUUUGAUGAUUACACCGGUGGCUCUGGAGAAUCAGCAGCUUGGCUUGCUUCUUAUGUUGGUACACUUACUCGCACGUAUGCACCGAUGGCUACAUCAUCCUGGGCUAAAGUUUCCCAAGAUGUGAAAGACCACAUCAAAAAUCGUU